rnacentral:lncRNA from 1 species
GAGUGCACCUCCCAAAAAUGAUACCUCGAAUACAGUCGGGCAUGUCCGAACGCGCUUCCCAAUCCGCUAUAUAUUGCUGCUGCUCGAACCCUUGUGCUACGGCAAGGUAAACGAAUCAGCUUGUAUUGUAAUUCCAAUGCUAUCGAUUCCCGCAACAAUCCAAUUCAAUCAAAUUUUGUCAAGAAUCUUUUUUUUCCUCUAGAUUUUUCCGGCAAUCAGGAACGUUGACGGAGCUUUUUCCCGGAUCAGUUUGUAUCAGAUCGCAAACAAAUGCUCUUCUCAGCGGAAAAUCCCACUAAACUCUACUCUAAAAAAUAUGCUUCUGUUUCAAGAUUCCUUGUAUUCAAUAAAAUGAAGAAAGUAUCACUCUUUGUAUUCCGAAGCACAAACCGGUAAAAAUUAAUUCUUAGUAACUAUUUUUCUUCUGUGAAGUUUGUAAAUCAAGAACAAUUAGAAAUAGAAGUUAUUUUCCCAAUUUUAUUAUAGGGACUACUGGUCACAGCCCCAAAAUUCGCCAGACUAUUCCCACUCAAAACCCUUAAGAAGAGGAUGAAAUCAGGAAAUCCGAAGAGAAAUCGGAAAAGCAAAGAAAGAAAUGAAACGAAGAUUAAUGGAUUGGUCAAACAAAGUCCACAAACGAAGAGUAAAGUGAAAGGUUCUUUUUU